rnacentral:lncRNA from 1 species
AAUAUUUUAAAAAGUAAAUACAGAUGCCAAAAGAGGCCUUUUUUUUUUUGAAAAAACUUCAAAUGCCACCCAUGUGAUUUCGUACUUUUUUAUUUUAAUACCUUGUGACUUAAAGUUUAUCAAUUUAGUACCCCAUGGUUUUAUUUUUGUCUUUUUAUUUGUUACUCUACUCUUUUUUUUUCGUUAAAUCAGUGAUAAAUUUAAAACUAAAAUUAUUAAAGUGAAUAUGUGAUAAACUUGGUGGAAUAUCUGAAGUUUUUUAUAUAUAAUUUAAUAAAAUGUUAACAAAUGAUCUAACGAAAAGAGAAAAAUGAAACCACAAUUUACUAAAUUGAUACACUUUAAACCACAUAGGUGGUAUUUGAAGUUUAUCCUUUUUUCACUUAUUUAAUCUUUAAGAUCAUUACUGUUGUAAAU